AGCAUUCGAGUCUUGGCCAGACAGAGCACUGUCUCAGAAGGCGAAAGACUGUUCCAAAGAGAUCUUUUCCCAACUUGGGAGCUGUAAAAGUGGAAUGGAAACCUGCAAAGCCGACACUGGAUUGUUUCGGACAACGGAUACCCAGCUGGUUAAAUGGAGUCAACACCGAAGAUGGAAAUAAGACCCCCAAGUGCUGGAUAGGGAUUCUGAAUGUCAUUUGGAGGAGAAUUCCUCGGCUUACACGUGUAACCAGUACAGUCUGGCCAUUUAGUAGAAAUUUAUACAAUUUCAGACUGAAAUUCAAGACGCAAAAACAUUUGGUUCCAUUGUAAAGUCCCUGGUAAUUUUCCACUCGCCUCCGUUAUCGUCGUCCGACGCGUUGUUUGUCAGAAAAAACAACAACAGUGUCAUUCCAGCGAUGAGAGGGACGAAAGAUCAUAGUGUAGUGGUUGAAAUAAGUUGUUUGCGUGGGAGAGGGAGAUGGAAAGAGAGUAUAACGUGUUGCCGUAAAUGAGUGCGGAGAGAGUAACUAACGAAGAGAGAGAGAGCGAUAAGAAGACAUUGAGAGGGAACCAGUUUUAAACAGUGAUGCCGAAUAUAGCUGAAUCAGAGAUGCAAGGUAUUACAGAAGAAGAGUUUUGCCGACCCUGUAAUAUCUAUAUAUUACCUCGAACAGGAGUACAAGCCGAGGGAGCUGAAAUUCUGGAGGAUCAUAUAGCAAUGUCAGCUAUGGCAAUCAAAAAGUAUAUAAAAACUUUGGUUCCAGAAGAAAGUUCAACAAAUGGUGAUUUUGCACUGCUUCGGCACAGUAAAAUCGGUUUAUCAUACCAUACAUAUUGCUAUAUAGAAACGGUCGAUCCGAAAAAAUCCUGAAAGAAAAACGUUUUUGUCCAACUAGAUGAUUGUCUGUUUAGGGUCUAUGUAAUCAGUUUCUCUGUCAGGUGGCGGUGCCGCCUGUCGAAACCAUCAAGGUUCGCCCUUGAAAUUUUUGGGUUCAGUUCGAUUCUGGGAGUCGUGGCAAGAAGUGUUAACAAUAAUUAAAUACUCAAAUAAUCUGA
rnacentral:sRNA from 1 species